rnacentral:rRNA from 1 species
GACGAACGCUGGCGGCGUGCUUAACACAUGCAAGUCGAGCGGUAAGGCCCUUUCGGGGGUACACGAGCGGCGAACGGGUGAGUAACACGUGGGUGACCUGCCCUCAGCUCUGGGAUAAGCCCGGGAAACUGGGUCUAAUACUGGAUAUGACUCCACGGUGCAUGCCGUGGGGUGGAAAGCCUUGUGCGGCUGAGGAUGGGCCCGCGGCCUAUCAGCUUGUUGGUGGGGUGAUGGCCUACCAAGGCGACGACGGGUAGCCGGCCUGAGAGGGCGACCGGCCACACUGGGACUGAGACACGGCCCAGACUCCUACGGGAGGCAGCAGUGGGGAAUCUUGCGCAAUGGGCGAAAGCCUGACGCAGCGACGCCGCGUGAGGGAUGACGGCCUGUGU